AUGGCCUCGAGCUCCCUCCCGCUCCUCGCCCUCCUGGCCCUGCUGGCCCUGCCAGGGCUCCGGGCGGCCGUGACCCUGCUGGAGUCCGGGGGGGACCUCCAGCCCCCCGGGACAUCGAUGGCCCUGGUUUGUUGCGCCUCCGGAUUCAAUUUCGGGAGUCACUGGAUGAUAUGGAUCUGUCAGAGCCCCGGGAAGGGGCUGGAAUUUAUCGCAGGGAUCAAUCCCAAUGGUGGCACCACCUGGUUCGCGCCGUCAGUCAAGGGGCAGUUCAGGAUCUCCAGGGACAACAGGCAGAGCUCGGUGACGCUGACCAUGAACAACUUCAAGGAUGAGGAUUCCAGUUCCUAUUUCUGCGCUAGAGAUGCUGCCCUGGUCACUCUGUCCCCACAUGCACUGGUCACUCUCUCCCCACGGGCCCUGGUCACUCUGUCCAGCGCUGACCGCACCAAAAGUGGGUCCGGCCUCAGCAGCAGAGGCCCAACAUUCGGUUUUGGGAAUUACGGAAUCUUCUGGAUCCAGAAGAGGCCCGGGAAGGCGCUGGAAUGGGUGGGAAAAAUCAACAGCGGUGGUGACACGGAGUGCUCGGUGCUGGCCCAGGGCCAGGGCUCCGGGCGGCCGUGA